GCCCGCACGACAGCCCGUAGCUCCGAGUCUCCUUCAGCGCCGCCAUCUUGCGACCAUCGCUCCCCCGCCACCCGUCCGGGCUCCAGCGCCGGCGCGCCGGCCAUACCCCGCCCACCGCCCGCCGACGCGCUGCAUUAUUCAUCAGGUGCGGUUGGCCACUCCCCCGAUCCCACGGAGCCAACGGCCGUUGCCGCAUGCAGGGCGCGCGGUCGUGCUGCAUUAUUCAUAACACAUAGAUGACCACGCCCUCUGCGUGCAGAAGAGGCACAAAGUCUCCGCCCCCAACUACUGUAUAUUCAUAAUUCGCAGGUGGCCCCACCUCUCCAGGCCCUAGAGGUGGCCACUUCCACGCUGUAACUCCGCCUCCCCACGCGCACGCCUCCAGGCCCCGCCUUAUGUAUAAUUCCUCAGUUUCGAGGCCCCGCCCCACAGGCCUCUGACUUGAUGCAUUAUUUAUGAGAUCUCCUUUGCCUUCCGUCUUUGGCUUCUGCAGACCAGCGGAGAGGGCGUGUGGGAGGCGGAGCUUGAGGCUGGCCUGACUGCUGGGCGGGGCCGUGUAAAAGAAGGCGCGCGUUGGACGGUGGGUUGGGCCACUGCGCCUUCCCUUAAGGUGGGCGGCCGGGAUUCCGGGACGUGGAGCUGCGGGAAAGCUAGGAGGAGGAGGUGGAUCCGGGAAACUUCCUAGGACCAGAGGAGACUUCCAAGAGGGUGAAACCCAGCUCCCCACAGGCCUCACCCGUGGUGGACUACAGAGCCCUUUUCCAGAAAACAACUUUAUUAGCUCCGGUCUCCCUAAGUCACAAAGUGGCCAGGCUGGGCUCCAACUUGCCAUCCUGCCUCAGCCUCCCACAGUGCUGGGAUUGCUCGAGUGGCCACCACGCCCGGAGUUCGACCUUGUAAUUCCUCGGCACUUAAUACCUUCACAAUGUUGUGUCCUUACUGCUCUAAUUCCAGCAUGCUUCCAUUUCCCCAGAAGUGAAUUCCGCGGGCUGCAGUCACUCACUCCCCAUCCCCACCCCUAGCCCCUGGCUGCCACUAAUCUACUUCUGGUCUUUGGAUUCCCUUUCCUUUAAUGUUAUGUUUCCGAGGUUAGUUAUCCUCAUAGCAGGGAUCAGUGCCUGGUUUUGUGUAGUUCCCCCCCCCCCUUUUUUUUUGAGACAGGUCUCACUAUAUAGCUCAGGCUGACGAUCCUCCUGCCUCAGCGUCCAGAGUGCUAGGUGUGCACCGCUAUGCCCAGCUCCCUUCUGUUUUCAUGACAGAAUAAUAUUCCACUAUAUGAAAUGAUCACGUUUUGUUUAUCCACUCACCCAUUAAACGUUUGAGUGGCUCCUUUCUUACUAUGAGUGGCGCCUAUGAACAUGAAUGCACAUGGUAUUGUUUUUGUUUUCAGUGCUGUUGAUGGAAGCCAGAGCCUCGUGCCUUUUUUUUUUUUUGGUACCAAGGAUUGAACUCAGGUCCUUGUGCUUGCAAGGCAGGUGGUGGAACCACUGAGCUAAAUCCCCAGCCCCUAAGCAAGCACUCUUUCUGAGCUACACCCCAGCCCCUGUACAGAGUUUUCUGUAGACAGACACUUUCCCGUCUCGUCUCGUGGUUCUAAACCCAGGAAUGGGACCACUGGGUCCUAGGCUAGACUGAACCU
rnacentral:lncRNA from 1 species